GACGAACGCUGGCGGCGUGCUUAACACAUGCAAGUCGAACGAGUGGCGCACGGGUGAGUAAUACGUGAGUAACCUGCCCUCUUUUUGGGAUAAGCCUUGGCAACGUGGUCUAAUCCCGGAUCAAGGGGGAUGGGCUCGCGGCCUAUCAGCGUGUUGGUGGGGUGAUGGCCUACCAAGGCGGUGACGGGUAGCCGGCCUGAGAGGGGGGCCUGCACCAGUGGGACGGAGAUACGGCCCAGACUCCUACGGGGGGCAGCAUUUGGGGAUAUGGCACAAUGGGCGAAAGCCGGAUGCAGCGACGCCGCGUGGGGGAUGAAGGCUGGCGGGUGGUAAACCUCGUUAGAUAGCGAACGGGUAGGUGGAGAAGAAGCGCCGGCUAACUACGUGCCAGCAGCCGCGGUAAUAC
rnacentral:rRNA from 1 species